ensembl:lncRNA
UCAUGUUGCUGGCAUCAGUACAGUAUCCACCACUAUCUUCAGAUCCUUUUCUGCAGCACAUGCUCUAGCUCCAAACACACCCUCUCAUUUUUUUCAUUAGAUUUAUUUUCCAAGUAUAGAACUUGUCCUGUACCUUCACUGAUAACUUCAGACCUCAUUUUUACAAUAUCAAGAGCACUUAGGUCAUUAAUCUUUUGUUCCAAAACGCUUGCAGCUCUUCCCAGCUGGCUGUCACCUCCGGAUUUUACAAGCUGCGCGAGCCAAGGCACGGCUGCAAUACGAAGCAGCCUGGUCGGGGCCCUCCCAGACGGCUCCYGCAGCCUCCUCCCGGGGGGACAGGGAACUGAGCGCCACGACGAAUCCUUGCGGGUGGGCUYGUGCUUUUCACGAGCGGUGCGCCACUUUGCGAGAUCCCAGCUUUCCCAGCUUCUGAUCCGAAAGAAAUCAGGUCUUGCCGCCAUCGAGAGGCAGCACAUCUGCUGGGCGUCCCCACACGCGACGAGCCCGGGAUCCUUUCAGCGAUGGUCCCCUCGUGUCCCGCGCUUGCAGCGGCAUGCGGCUCAUGCAACAAGUUUUCCUCUUGCUUCUUCCUGAAUUUCAGACGAAGGACACCCUUUCCUGAGAUUUGCUGCAGAAUUUAACUGCUUUUUCCUUAAAAAACACUUAGUUUUCCUGAAUAAGCUGUGUCCUUCUCUACCCAUAUUUGCAAUCUGUGAUAUGUCCCUCUGAAUCUCUGCAGUGCCAAUUAAAUUGUAGUUUUGCUUGUAUGCUGAGACUCCAAAUACUUCCUGUUUAUUUUCUGUACUUCUGGAAUGAUUUCUGAAGGAAUUAAAAACAAAUCUGUUUAUCUUCACUAAAUCCCUUUGCUGAUAAGGGUAUUAGUGGU